CUUCCCAUUGGAUUGGACCCAGGUGUACAUCUUAAUCUGUCUGAGCGGAAAGAAGUGGGAGACUUUAAUUGCAAAUGAAGAUUAAUGCAACGUGAGGUCCGCUGGAUGAGGGUUUAGCUUUGAAUUUAAAUGACCCUGACUGCUUCCCCAAAAUUUGGACGAAAAUAUCUUUUCCUUCUCAGCGGCAGUGGUUCUGUGCACUGGUCUGGAGUCACUUUUCAUGAGGAACGUUGACGAACUUAUGAAAUAAGGGUUGAAAAAUAUUCACAACUGCAGGUGCUUUGUUAACUGAUCAGAUUUUAACAAAAGUGUUAAGCAGUGCUUCUCAACUGGGAGGCUUGAUCUGUGACCCAAGGUAUGAUCCAUCCUGGAGAAUGCUCCAUGAGAAUCUGAGAAAAAAGUGUAUUCUGUUGGUCCUGGACAGAACAUCCCAUGAAUAUCAAUUAAGUCCAUCUUGUUUAAUGUAUCGUUUAAAGCUUAUGUUUCCUUAUUUAUUCUCAUUCUGGAUGAUCCAUCCAUUGGUGAAAGGGGGUGUCAAAGUCCCCCACUGUGAUUGUGUUACUGUCAAUUUCCCCUUUUAUGGCUGUUAGCAUUUGCCUUAUGUAUUGAGGUGCUACUAUGUUGGCUGUAUAAAUGUCUACAGUUGUUAUAUCUUCCUCUUGGGUUGAUCCCUUGGUCGUUAUGUAGUGUCCUUCUUUGUCUCUUGUAAUAGUCUUUAUUUUAAAGUCUACUUUGUCUGAUAUGAGAAUUGCUACUCCAGCUUUCUUCUGAUUUCCAUUUGCGUGGAAUAUCUUUUUCCAUCCCCUCACUUUCAGUAGGUAUGCGUCCCUAGGUCUUAAGUGGGUCUCUUGUAGACAGUAUAUAUAUGGGUCUUAUUUUUGUAUCCAUUUAGCCAGUCUACGUCUUUUGGUUGGACCAUUUAAUUCAUUUACAUUUAAGGUAAUUAUCGAUAAUGUAUUUUCCUAUUAACAUUUUCUUAACUGUUUUGGGUUUGUUAUUGUAGGUCUUUUCCUUCUCUUGUGUCUUCUGCCUAGAGAAGUUCCUUUAGCAUUUGUUGUAAAGCUGGUUUGGUGGUGCUGAAUUCUCUUAGCUUUUGCUUGUCUGUAAAGGUUUUAAUUUCUCCGUCAAAUCUGAAUGAGAUCCUUGCUGGGUAGAUUAAUCUUGGUUGUAGGUUUUUCCCUUUCAUCACUUUAAAUAUGCCCUGCCACUCUCUCCUGGCUUGCAGAGUUUCUGCUGAAAGAUCAGCUGUUAACCUUAUGGGGAUUCCCUUGUAUGUUAUUUUUUGCUUUUCCCUUGCUGCUUUGAAUAUAUUUUCUUUGUAUUUAAUUUUUGAGAGUUUGAUUAAUAUGUGUCUUGGCGUGUUUCUUCUUGGAUUUACCUGUGUGGGACUCUGCACCUCCUGGACUUGAUGAACUAUUUCCUUUCCCAUAUUAGGGAAGUUUUCAACUAUAAUCUCUUCAAAUAUUUUUUCAGUCCCUUUCUUUUUCUCUUCUUCUCCUGGGACCCCUAUAAUUCGAUUAUUGGUGCAUAUAAUGUUCUCCUAGAUGUCUCUAAGACUAUCCUCAAUUAUUUUCAUUCUUUUUUCUUUAUUCUUCUCUGCAGUAGUUAUUUCCAGUAUUUUAUCUUCCAGGUCACUUAUCCAUUCUUCUACCUCAGUUAUUUUGCUAUUGAUUCCUUCUAGAGAAUUUUAAAUUUCAUUUAUUGUGUUGUUCAUCAUUGUUUUCUUUUCAAUUCUUCUAGGUCCUUGUUAAACGUUUCUUGUAUUUUCUCCAUCCAUUUCCACGAUUUUGGAUCAUCUUUACUAUCAUUACCCCAAAUUCUUUUUCAGGUAGACUGCGUAUUUCCUCUUCAUUUGUUUGGUCUGGUGGGUUUUUACCUUGCUCCUUCAUCUGUUGUGUGUUUCUCUGUCUUCUCAUUUUGCUUCACUUCCUGUUUUUGGGGUCUCCUUUGUGCAGGCUGCAGGUUCGUAGUUCCCGUUGUUUUUGGUGUCUGCCCCCAGUGGCUAAGUUUGGUUCAGUGGGUUGUGUAGGCUUUUUGGUGGAGGGGACUAGUGCCUGUGUUCUGGUGGAUGAGGCUGGAUCUUAUCUUUCUGGUAGUCAGGACCAUGUCUGGUGGUGUGGUUUGGGGUGUCUGCCACCUUAUUAUGAUUUUAGGCAGUCUCUCUGCUAAUGGGUGGGGUUGUGUUCCUGUCUUGCUAGUUGUUUGCCAUAGGGUGUCAAGCACUGUAGCUUGCUGGUCGUUGAGUGGAGCUGGGUCUUAGCGUUGCGAUGGAGAUCUCUGGGAGAGCUUUCGCUGUUUGAUAUUACAUGGAGCCAGGAGGUCUCCGGUGGACCAAUGUUCUGAACUUGGACUCCCACCUGAGAGGCACAGCCCUGACACCCGGCCAGAGCACCAAGACCCUGUCAGCCACACGGCUCAGAAGAAAAG